GUAGACCAGGCGAUCGCGUGCUAUGCAUGAGGAAAGUCCGGGCUCCAAAGGGCAAGGCCGCCGCAGGUAACUGUAGGGAAAGUGCAACAGAAACAUUCCGCCGAAACGGGUAAUGCCGUGGUAAGGUUGAAAUGGUGAGGUAAGAGCUCACCGGGGUUGUGGAGACACAGCCGCCGUGUAAACCCCAUCCGGAGCAAGGCUGAGAGGGCAUUUGGUGGUGCGGCCCGUACCCGCCCGAAGGUAAGCCGCAUGACGUCGUCAGCAAUGGCGGCGCUAGAUGGAUGAUCGUCAGAUACAGAACCCGGCUUACGGUCUGCCC
rnacentral:RNase_P_RNA from 1 species